UUAGUCUUGUUGGCUUCUAACUUGCGUCUUUUCUUAGUCUUGAUUUGGAGUCUAAUUUCUAUUUUCAAACCAUUAUGUUUAACCAUUUGAAUUUUGAGUUUUUAUUUGUAUUAUUUUUUCGGAAAUUAUUACAGAUUUACGGUUACCUUCCUUAGAUUUUUGAAUUCUAGUUCGUAGCAAAAAUGAACACGAGGAUUGAAGUCAAAUGAAAAGCAAUAAGUCCAUAGCAUAGGAAGUUUUAGCCCUAUGACAGAGAAGAAAUAGGAAAGAAAAAUAGAGUGAAGUGGUUCUUUGGAUCAGAUUAUGUUCCCCACAUAUGUACCCAUGAACUUUCCGUUAAUUAGCCAAUGUGGAACUCAAACAAUCCUCAACAAUCUUCACAUGAGACAAAGUACACCAUAGAGCCUCUCCCAAGGCCAUUCUACUUUUUUGGAGCCCUUGAUCAACCUUUGCUUAACUUAGUGGAAGAAAAAAAGAAUGGAAUUUGAGCAAUCCAAUUAAGUUUGAAUAAUGGUGGACAAAGGUGGAUUCCUUGGAAUUUUCCCCCCUUUUCUAUACUUUUUUGUGUGAUAUUUGAUUCACUUCCCCAUCUUUUCAAUGGAUUGUUUCUUUUGUAGUUUUUCUUUAAAGUUUAACAUCUUCUUUUCAUAA